rnacentral:misc_RNA from 1 species
CGCACCUUGCGCUCCUUGGUAUUCCUUGGAGCAUGCCUGUUUGAGUAUCAUGAAAUUCUCAGAGUAGAUCUUUUGUUCAUUCAAUUGACUCUGCUUCUGGACUUGGGGGCCUGCAGAUGCAAGUCUGCUCCUCUUAAAUGCAUUAGCUGGAUCUCAGUCGACCUGGUUCCACUCGGCGUGAUAAGUAUCAUUCGCUGAGGACACCCUCCCAAAGGGUGGCCAGGAGUACAGAUGAACCGCUUCCAAUAGUCUAUUGACUUAGACAAGCAAACAUUAUGAUCUGAUCUCAAAUCAGGUAGGACUACCCGCUGAACUUAA